GACGAACCGUGCGAACGUUGUUCGGAAUCACUGGGCUUAAAGGGCGCGUAGGCGGGCUUGCAAGUCUGCGGUGAAAGCCUCCAGCUCAACUGGAGAAGUGCCGUGGAUACUGCGGGCCUCGAGGAGGGUAGGGGCAUCUGGAACGUUGGGUGGGGCGGUGAAAUGCGUUGAUAUCCAACGGAACUCCGGUGGCGAAGGCGAGGUGCUGGACCCUUUCUGACGCUGAGGCGCGAAAGCCAGGGGAGCGAACGGG
rnacentral:rRNA from 1 species